rnacentral:rRNA from 1 species
GGGUGCUCGAGUGGCGAACGGGUGGGUAACACGUGAGUAACCUGCCCUUGACUUUGGGAUAACUUCAGGAAACUGGGGCUAAUACCGGAUAGGAGCUCCUGCUGCAUGGUGGGGGUUGGAAAGUUUCGGCGGUUGGGGAUGGACUCGCGGCUUAUCAGCUUGUUGGUGGGGUAGUGGCUAACCAAGGCUUUGACGGGUAGCCGGCCUGAGAGGGUGACCGGCCACAUUGGGACUGAGAUACGGCCCAG